GACGAACGCUGGCGGCGUGCUUAACACAUGCAAGUCGAGCGGUAAGGCCCUUUCGGGGGUACACGAGCGGCGAACGGGUGAGUAACACGUGGGUGACCUGCCCUCAGCUCUGGGAUAAGCCUGGGAAACCGGGUCUAAUACUGGAUAUGACUCCAUGACGCAUGUUGUGGGGUGGAAAGCCUUGUGCGGCUGAGGAUGGGCCCGCGGCCUAUCAGCUUGUUGGUGGGGNGAUGGCCUACCAAGGCGACGACGGGUAGCCGGCCUGAGAGGGCGACCGGCCACACUGGGACUGAGACACGGCCCAGACUCCUACGGGAGGCAGCAGUGGGGAAUCUUGCGCAAUGGGCGAAAGCCUGACGCAGCGACGCCGCGUGAGGGAAGAAGGCCUGCGGGUUGUAAAGCACUUUC
rnacentral:rRNA from 1 species